UAACUAUGGCUAAAAAUGUUUGUGAUAGUCUGUAGAUCCAAAUGAAUAUAUUAUAUGAACAUAUAUGAAUAUACAUAUAUAUAUGAUAUAUAUAUAUAUAUAUCAUAUAUAUAUGGAAAUUACUUUUAGUCAAAUUCCUAAGACUUCCCUUUGAACUUUUAAGAUGUCAAAAUCAAUAUGUAGUGAAGUGUUUAUUUUGAAAUGUUGGUCCUUUUGUUUGUUUGGUUUUUUUAUUACGUAUUUUCCUCAUUUACAUUUCCAAUGCUAUCCUAAAAGUCCCCCCACACCCUCCCCCCCCCACACUCCCCUACCCACCCAUUCCCAUUUUUUGGCCCUGGCGUUCCCCUGUACUGGGGCAUAUAAAGUUUGCCUGACCAAUGGGCCUCUCUUUCCAUUGAUGGCCGACUAGGCCAUCUUUUGAUACAUAUGCAGCUAGAGUCAAGAGCUCUGGCGGCGCACGCCGGUAAGAUUUGCUGAAGGAGGCAGAGGCAGGAGGAUGUUUGUCCUUUUGAAACUAAGUCUCUUCUUAGGAAUGCUGUAAUUUGCAAUUCUCACAUUUUUAUAUAUUGUUGGUAUUAUGGGUACACGGUACUUCUAAUAUUUUCUAAUAACUUUUUGAUAAUAUGACAAAAGACAUGUUUUUCUUAAACAUUUUAUCAUUUUACCUUACUGGAUUCCAUUUAUUUUUUUUUUCUCAGUUGAUUCUUUGCCAGGAAUUUGACCCACAUCACAUCUCAUUUCAUAUUUCUUCUACCUUUAUUUCGAAUUUACCAGGACUUCCCAAAUAGUGCUAAGUAGGAAGGAUGCUAGCAGGCAUCAUUUUCCUUUAUAUAAACUAGAAAUUGUACAAUGGUUAUAAUUAAUAAUAGUGAUUAGUUCUAGAUGGAUACUAAGUUGGCUGCAGUGGCUAUGAUAGAAUCGUAGCACUUGAUAAACUGAUAGAGAAUUUCUGUGAGUUUGAGGUGAGUGGACUAUAUAGAGACCCUAUCAAAAAGCAAAACUAUAAACAUCUUCAUAGUAAUUAUUUCGCUGAAAGUUUUUUCUUAGUUUGGAAUACAUAGAUUUUAUUAAAAUAUUUUCAGCAACAAACGAGUUUAAUGUGAUUUGUGUUGUGAGAUGAAUUAUUUAACAAUAGGUUAUUCAGUAUUAAAUCCUCCAAAUUAUUUGGAGGAAUCAACUUAGCUUUUGAAUCUAUUAUUAUGUAUUGGCUCUGUACUAGUUGGCUAGGGUAAGCUAUAUUUUUUCAUAACAAAUCAAAUCUGAAAGUUAACAUGAAAUCUACUGUCACUUACGUAAUCUCUGAUAGAGCCUGUUGGCCUUUAUCUGUUGUCUUAGACUAUUUGGGACACACAGUCCCAAAUAGUCAGGGGGAAAAAAUCAGAGAUAGCAUACCUUUUGGAACACCUCAAAUAUGGAAUGAAAUGUUAUUUGUUUUGUUUCUUUGAUGCUGAAGCCAGUGACAUUACCCCAGGCUAAGCAGACUUGGGAGGUCUUUCUGUGUCUCUGCCUAAUAUCUUUUACCAUAAUUUUUAAUAGUAGGGGGAAAAGGAUGAGGUUUGAUUUAAACAUUUUGAACAAUUUAACCUUACUGAAUUCUAUUCAGUGGGAGGAUCCUGAACCAUCUAAAAAAAAGAAGAUAGGCUGAGUGCAGACAGACAUCUGUUGUUCUCCUCUUCCGCAUGGAAACAGUGUAACCAGCUCCUUUAACCUCCGCCUGGCUUUGACUUCCCAACUAUGAUGGACUGUGUGCCUUGAGCUGUAAGCUAAAGGUGUAAGCUUUUGUAUGUUGUUUUUAUUGUUGAUGUGACCCAAGAGGCAACUUGGGGAAAGAAGAAUUGGUUUUGGCUCAUAGUUUCACAGAAGUUUGGUAGCAUAGAAGGGAUGUGGCAGAAGCUUGGUUAUAGAGCAGCUGUGCACCAGGAAAUGGAGUGGGACUGGAAUCUGUCAGGGUACAGCCCUCAAAUCCACCCCUAGUGGCUCAUUGCCAUUAGCCAGAAUCCGUGUCACAAAGGUUCUACAGCUUCUGCAAACAGUACCACCACAUGAGGCCAGGGUUUUAAAUACAUGAGCCUGUGAGGGACAUUUUAUACCCAAAACACAUUUAUAUAGACAUAAAAGCUAUCUGUAUAUAUAUAUGUAACUAUUUCUGUAUUAUGUUUGGUCAGAAACUACUUACUCCCAUAGCUCAAAGUCUUCGUGUAUCUCUCGCAUUUCCCAAAAAUAUCUACAAAACUAUAAAUAUAUAUGUAUAGUUUUUGUUUAUAGUUUAUAUAUAAACUGUAUGUGUAUAUAUUUAUAUAGUUUUUCUAUAAACUAUAUAUACACAUAUAAACUGUAUAUAUGUGUAUACGUAGUUUUAUAUUUGUAGUUUUUUUACAAACUAUAUAUAUGUAGUUUUUAUAUACUUAGUUCUUUUAUGAACUAUGUUUAUAUACACAUAUAAAAAUAUAUAUGUAUAUAUGUUUUUUAUAUUUAUAGUUGAUAUAUAAACUAUGUAUAUACAGUUUUUAUAUUUGUCAUUUUAUAGCUAUUUUUGGGAAAUGCAUAUAUAUGCACACUAGUUUAUGUGUGUGUGUAUAUAUAUAUAUGUAUAUAUAUAUAUAUAAACUAUACUUGAGGUUUGAGUAUUAAUAUCCAUAUAUAUUACAUACAUACAUACAUACAUACAUACAUACAUACAUGCAUACAUAUAUUCAUACAUACAUAUAUACAUACACACAUAGUUUUUACAUUUGUAGUUUUAUAGAUAUUUUGGGGAAAUGCGGAAACAGAAAACACUUACCUCCAUAAGUGUUAAAGAAUUAAACCCUAAGUCUCAUAAAAGGAUACUUUGGAGUUUUCUAGAAGAAAUGGUAAACUGACCUCUUUAAGUGAUCCAUAGGAAAGUGUGGACCUGUAAAAAAGGUCUUUUCUGCCAUUUCUUGUGAAGUUAGAAAUUUAAGUAGCAUAUUUAACAAGUGGAACUAGAAAUGCACUAUCAGCUGAUCACUAGCCUCUUGGUGGGACUAGUUCUGCUUGUAUUUCUGUACUAUGUAUGAUCAGAACUCUGUUGUUAUGGGUACCAUAAGCUAUAAAAGAGCUCAACCAUGUAGAGCAUCCAGUCCUAAAUAAAAGGUAAAUUCU
rnacentral:lncRNA from 1 species